GACCACUCCGGUGGCCUAGUGGUUAGAGCCUCCACCUCUGAUGCAGGUGGUCGCGGUUUAGAUCCCCGGCUGAGUCA